UAGGGAAUCUUCCGCAAUGGACGAAAGUCUGACGGAGCAACGCCGCGUGAGUGAAGAAGGAUUUCGGUUCGUAAAACUCUGUUGUUAGGGAAGAAAAAAUGUAUAGUAACUAUAUACAAAAGAGACGGUACCUAACCAGAAAGCCACGGCUAACUACGUGCCAGCAGCCGCGGUAAUACGUAGGUGGCAAGCGUUGUCCGGAUUCAUUGGGCGUAAAGCGCGCGUAGGCGGUUUGUUAGGUCAGGAGUUAAAUCUGGGGGCUCAACCCCUAUCCGCUCCUGAUACCGGCAGGCUUGAGUCUGGUAGGGGAAGGCGGAAUUCCAAGUGUAGCGGUGAAAUGCGCAGAUAUUUGGAAGAACACCGGUGGCGAAGGCGGCCUUCUGGGCCACGACUGACGCUGAGGCGCGAAAGCUAGGGGAGCGAACAGG
rnacentral:rRNA from 1 species